rnacentral:rRNA from 1 species
GAUGAACGCUAGCGGCAGGCCUAAUACAUGCAAGUCGAGGGGCAGCAGGAAUAGCAAUAUUUGCUGGCGACCGGCGCACGGGUGCGUAACACGUAUACAAUCUGCCUUCUACAGGGGGAUAGCCUUUCGAAAGAUAGAUUAAUACCCCAUAACACAAGAAAUAGUAUUAUUUUUUGUUGAAAGAUUCGUCGGUAGAAGAUGAGUAUGCGGGUGAUUAGCUAGUUGGUGAGGUAACGGCUCACCAAGGCAACGAUCACUAGGGGAUCUGAGAGGACUACCCCCCACACUGGUAAUGAGACACGGACCAGACUCCUACGGGAGGCAGCAGUAAGGAAUAUUGGAAAAUGGAGGCAACUCUGAUCCAGCCAUGCCGCGUGCAGGAUGAAGGCCCUAUGGGUCGUAAACUGCUUUUGUACGAGAGAAAACCUAUUUACGUGUAGAUAGUUGAUAGUAUCGUAAGAAUAAGGAUCGGCUAACUUCGUGCCAGCAGCCGCCGUAAAAC